AUUUGGACUCUAGAUGGGAUCUGUAGAUUGAUGAAGGCUAUCUGGAGCUGUUAAGUUAUCCUGCAGUGCUCUGACUUUUGUCCUAACGUUCUUUCAGAUGCAGCCAGAUGGAAUCCGUGGCAGAGGGCCCCGUCCCGGGUGAGGGGGGUCCCCCGAGAAGGAACUAAAGCCAGAUACUAGCAGUCAAGGCGGUCCGCUCGUAUUACGCCGAGACCCCCCUCAGCAACGGGGCCGCAGACCCCCGCUUGGUCACUCUCGUGGGAAUUUGGGAAGCAGCGCACGGAUCUGUGAUGAAGCCUUGAUCUUUGACAUUUGAAGGUGUCACCCGGGGAGCCUUCAGGAGCGGCCGAGGAGUUGCUGUAAGUCGGGGAGCUAGGGAGGAGGAGCCAGGGUCCACUGGAGUUUCAGCGAUGCCACGUCACCUCGUCUCCUCUUCACCCAGGCAGACCCUGCCGCGAGGGCAUCGGCCUCCGGGCGCGGCCAGAUGAGGCG